UUGGUUGAUGAUUUUCUGAUUGCCUGAUAUAAUGUGGAUGUACUGGUUUCUGACCUGCUGCCUAGCAGCACAGCAGAAGAGAGAUGAUGGUUCAUUUGCCAUUAAGAAAAAGGUAAAGAAAUACAAACUGUGGGAGCUGAAUCUGGAAUUGUUCAAUCUGGGUGUCCACCUUGAUGAGGACAGUUCCAAUGACAUGAAAGACAAAAAGAAGAUGAAGCAGACACUCCAGAAGCGUCUCAUUAGUGAGCUGCUGAAGGUCCACGUGGACAGAGCCAACAACAGAGCUAAAGAACUCCAAAUGAGUAACCCAUAUAUUAUUACACAGAAUGUGUUCAAUUAUGGGAAUGCCUCAGUGGAGAGCAAAUUGGAACAGAUGAAGAACGAUAACAAGAACAUGGAACAUGAUAUACAGAGUGUUCUUUGUGAAAACAAUGAUAGCUCUGAUGGACAUCACAUCAUCCUGGAUGAAGUGGACAGCACUUUGACUCUGACUGUGAUUUCUGGCGAACACUUGAACAAUGAGACUGUGUGAACAAAAUGGCAAAGGAUGAUGUAUACAGCAUCAGCGAAAGAUGGCUUAUGCCUUGACUGGACUGGAGAAGGAAUGGACAGG